GAGACCGACGCCGCCAUAUCUAAGUAGUGCUGACGUCCAGUCCACGCUCUCCGUAAUUAGGCUGCAAAACCCAGGAACCAUGGACGGUGGAUUCUUAGCUAGGGCAACCAGCUCGGCUCACAUUUUCUCACCAAAAUAAUGGAGUCGGGUCCUGUGGUUACCACCGAUCCGGGUUCACAAGCACGGGCCCCACCCUCUCCCCUCCCGCAAGCCAUGCUCGGCGGGUCCCAGGCUUCCGGUAUGGGAUCACUUCCUUUUUAAUCACUCUGGCCACGCUUGUCUGGGCUUUUUUUCCUCAGGUUCAAUCGCGGACAGUAGAUUCCGACCGCCAUUCGUGAACCUCCCCGGGGAGGGAUACAUAGAGGGGAGUCCUGGAGGGGUUGGCA
rnacentral:lncRNA from 1 species